UUGGACGAGAGGUUAUGUCGCUGAUUAAAAUGCUUACAGGUGCGAAAAUGCAUUUGUGCGCAAUUGUUUUUUGAUAUUUUCGGAACUUGAACGCGUCUUGAAUCACUGGACAUAGGGUGAGGAUAAAGUGGAUAAAUUAUAGCGAAUCAAAGGAUGGGAACCUAUCAUUUGAGUUUGCGACUCCACCGUGCGGACAUAAUUUCUAUGAAAACGAUGAUUAAGGAAAUAACUACACCAACGAACCAGAUUACGAAGACCAGGUGGACUUGGGACAUGUCGACGGAGAUAAUUUUAUCCUUACCGCUGUCUUCUUGAUAUUUAACUUGCAGCCAACGGUCCAUCAAUACAUCCAUUAUACCUACCUCAUGCAAUUUUAUUAUACUGUGAAAUGAAAGAAACGAUAACAGCUGUGACUAUGUAAUCGCAGCGGAACAUAGAACAAGAUGCUGUCUUUCGAUGCAGUUCAUCGAAUUACUGAUUCACACUUCUGCUUCACCAACCUUGAUUGCACAUCAUGGAAAAGGUGAACAGCAAGUGAUCACCCAACGAAUAACCCUGCUUAGACUG